CUUCCCUCACUCACAAAGAAUCACGCCGCCCACUUCCUUUCCCUCUCACUCACGCUUCAGCCCAUUCCCUUCCCCACACCAGCAACUGCGGCACACCACCACCACCAGCCACAUAUUCUUCCUCCACCGGUGAGCAGCCAUCGUAGCAGCAGCUCCGCCUUCCUCCCUCACGGCACCCAGCAGCGGGCACCCAGCAGCGGGCACCCAGCAGCAACGGGCUGCUUUGUUCUCUUCCUCCGCCUUGCAGCAGCGUGAGUUUCCAAGCAACGGCAGCCACCUUCGUGGUGGUUUUCCCGGCAGCAGCAGCCCAACACCACCAUACCAAAUCCUUCCUUCUUCACCCUUCUCUUGUUUCAUCUUAGUGCCCAUUUCGUAAGAGGAAAGUAGAGCCUUAGUUGGGUGAUUUUGUGACUUUUGAUCGUGCAGUGACGCUUACAGCAGCAGGAUCAUAGACAGGCGUAGCAGGUACUAGAGCUUCUUUUGCAUUGCAUUGCAUUUGGGGAGAGUGAUGAGGGCGAAGCAUAACCUGUGUCAUACUGCUAUCCUUCGAUUGUUGUAGCUCUUGUUAUUUUUUUGUAAAUUUUGGUUGUAUAUGUUGGUUAUGAGGCCUUGUGUCCUCCCUCGUAUAUUUGUAUUUCCGUUGCGUAGUUUAUAACUCUGGAUGGUUUUAAAGAGUUAAGUCUUUUUAAAACUCAAA